AUGGCCGCAGUCUGGAGGGAGGGAGUCUCCAACUCUCAGACAGCUCCUCUUCCUGUCUUUUCUGGUGUACAAGAGCUCAACUGGCCACAUAUUCACAAAUAUCGAACUGUUCCAGAGGGGAAAUUUGGAAAAACAUUAGGAGAGACAUUUUGGAAAGAAGAGAGCACAUGGUGGUGAAAGAAGCACUGACUUCGGAGCCAGAAAAACCUUGGUCUGAAUCCCAUCUCUUACCUUGGACCUAGGUUGUCUUCAACCUCUUGGCAGGAGAUCAGCGCCUGACAGAUCGGGAAAGGCAAUGGGAACCUAAAUCUGUCCAAGGCCACCAGUGGAGUUUCUGGGCUUUAUGGUGCUCCGGUCCUUAAUGGCAGGUGAGCGGGCAAGCAGACCUCAUUAGGAGCCCACCUCUCACACAUGCCUCCAACUGAAAGGCAGGAGCAGCUGGAUCAGGAGGUAAAAGUUUUCUUGCAAAGAGCACUGGAACGAGAGUCAAGAGACCCGGUUUCUGACGAAUAAACUACAAGGAAAGAGCGGGAGAUGUGACGAGUCCAAAGGCUGGAGGUCCUUUCCUGAUGCUACUUAUACCGGGUAUAAGGUCUUGGCUAAGUCACUUCACGACUUUGUGACUGUUUACUCACUUACAAUAAAGAUAGUGACCAUUUACCUACUAUA